rnacentral:rRNA from 1 species
ACUGAACGCUGGCGGCAGGCUUAACACAUGCAAGUCGAGCGGGGUGAUGGUGCUUGCACUAUCACUUAGCGGCGGACGGGUGAGUAAUGCUUAGGAAUCUGCCUAUUAGUGGGGGACAACAUCUCGAGAGGGAUGCUAAUACCGCAUACGUCCUACGGGAGAAAGCAGGGGACCACUUGUGACCUUGCGCUAAGAGAUGAGCCUAAGUCGGAUUAGCUAGUUGGUGGGGUAAAGGCCUACCAAGGCGACGAUCUGUAGCGGGUCUGAGAGGAUGAUCCGCCACACUGGGACUGAGACACGGCCCAGACUCCUACGGGAGGCAACAGUGGGGAAUAUUGGACAAUGGGGGGAACCCUGAUCCAGCCAUGCCGCGUGUGUGAAGAAGGCCUUAUGGUUGUAAAGCACUUUAAGCGAGGAGGAGGCUCUUUUGGUUAAUACCCAAGAUGAGUGGACGUUACUCGCAGAAUAAGCACCGGCUAACUCUGUGCCAGCCGCCGCUGUAA